rnacentral:tRNA from 1 species
GCGCCUAUAGCUCAGUCGGAUAGAGCGAGUGGCUUCGAACCACUAGGCCGCAGGUUCGAUCCCUGCUAGGCGCA